AUGGCUAUACUGUAUUGAAACACCGUUUCUCGUACGAUCACCGAAAUUAAGCAACAUUGAGCCUGGUCAGUAUUUAGAUGGGUGACCACUUGAUGAUACCAGGCGCUGUAAU